UACUAAGAGGGCCAAGACGCGAAAGCCGCUCCACUCCUGACCAUGGGGCACGUCCCUCUCUUCCUUCUGAAAAGUGUCCUACUUUUUAUAGACAGCAGUUGUGUCCACUUAUGUAAUGAGCCAGGCUUGGCUUAGAAUGAAGCAAAGAGGUGCUUUAGACAGUGAUUGAAGGCUUCCCAUAGCUCUACGUGAUGUUCAAAGAAAAUAUCAUCUAAAAAUCAACGCAAGCAAACCUCCCCUGGGAGCGUCGCUGAGGAAUUAGCGUGCUAGACGCUUCUGGAAAACAUCUCCACUCGCGUCCUAUCCUAGGCGUCACCUAAGCCUUUGCUUUCCAUCACGCAGCAAGCUUCUAUGGGCCUUUGACAAAUGCUGUCAGAUACUGGCCCACACCGCAUGCUAACCUCCACUCAAUAUCGCCUCUCUCGGGUUCUCUCUACUGUCGACAGGACACCUUACUUUGGAUCCGUACUCAGUGUGGUGGGAUUCGUCAGCUCAAGAUUCCCCACACUUCCUCUGGCACUAGAGGAAUUUGGGCAUUUAUUUCCAAGUUUCCAGCACUUCACCUCUGGACCUACUGAGCCAAAGUCUUUGAGCGAAGGUGCAGGUGCCUGGUAAUCGGUCAUUCUAGCAAGUCACCAGGGUUGGGACCCACAGGUUGAGAACUGCUGCACUAAAACUCAGGGGCUUCCCUUCGUACCUGUUGCAUGUCGGGUUCCUGAUCGUUCUACUGCUUUCCCAUCUUCACUCAAAAGACCUCGGUUGAGAGUGUCCGUGAAAGGCGAAAUUAUGGCGUCACUCUGGGUGCAUUUUCCUGACUCGAACAUGUAUCAGAAAAGAAGCAGGUGCUCAAUCAAGGUGAUCAGAACAACUUACGUUUCUUCUAUUUUCUGUCUUCUGAGAAACUGGAUGUCACCUCUUCAUCAAGGAGCAGCGUUCAUGGGGCUAAGGAUAUUUGCCCAGUUAUAGAAUGGGAAUAUACAGCCUUGGGUAUGCUCUAUGUUUGCCUUGGUUCUUACAGCUGUUAUUCUAAGAGAAGUGGACACAAAUGAAAAGGAGACACACUGAUGUAGUAGAUUCAGGAGUGAACAUGAGUCUUAGAGGCUUGACAGCAUCAGGAGGAGGACAGCCUCGCCCAAAGGAAGCAUGGGUGUGUGGUCACAUCUCACAAUGACAACAGAAUCCUUUUCAGAUGAAGCUUCUCACCAGGGCGCAUGCGCCCCACGCUGGACCGUCUCCAUUCCCAUAGUCACCGUCUCUCACGGUUUGAUUGAGUUGAGCUCUUUUACACAUCCAUACCCCAGGCUCCAGAGGGCAAAUGCUUGAGUGGGAAUCUUUCACGUCUCCAGGUGGUGGCAGCUGAGGCAGAGGUGCAAACGGAGAUGUGUCUUUCCCAAAGAUCACCCACGGUAUGCUUUACCCCGAACCUAAUGAGAAGGGAAUAAAUCAGGGUCUGUGUCAACUUUGACUUCCUAGUCCUGAGGACCAGAUGUUUUGACUUCAUUUUUUUAUCCUUGUGAGGUUAGUUCUUGGCCAGAUGCUUGCCCUUUCUGAUGUGCACUCAUUUGUGUGCAUGGGGGUGGGGAAGGAGAGGAAGGAAUACUCACCAGUUUGUUGGCUAAAGUCUAGACUAUGAAUCGGGCAGUAGACUUGAUCACCACUGUCUUAGUUAGGGUUUUACUGCUGUGAACAGACACCAUGACCAAAGCAACUCUUGUAAGGACAACAUUUAAUUGGGGCUGGUUUACAGGUUCAGAGAUUCAAUCCAUUUAUCACCAUGGAAGGAAGCAUCGAAGUGUGCAGGCAGACCAGAUGUAGUGCUGGAAGACCUGAGAGUUCUACAACUUGAUUCAAAGGCAACCAGGAAGAGACUGGCUUCCACAGGCAGCCAGGAGAAGGGUCCCGUCUGCACUGGGUGGAGCUUGAGCAUCAGGAGCCCUGAAAGUCCCGCCUACAUAGUGACGUACUUCCUCUAACAAGGCCACAUGCCCUAAUAAUACCACUUCCCACGGGCCAAGCAGUUUUAAACCACCAUAACCAUUCGAUAGCUACAUAUUUCAUUCCACUUUAGGUGCCAGACUGCCUGUGAGAAAGUCAAAAGAAAGAUGAGCGAUGUCAGACAAGACAAAUGAGAAAGACCUGCUGCAGAAUUGAGGCGACUCAGCUAAAAUCCACUCCCGGGCUUGCGGAGUCGUAAUUCUCCAUCACCAACCCCUAGGACAGGAGGCUGGGCUGCACUCACGUUGAUCCCUGCACUGUUGGCUUGGUAGAGAAUAUUUAAGAUCAUCCAGUGACAUCUUUUUUUAAAUGUUUUUCAGCCCUGAUUUGAACAAAUUCUUCUCAAAAACCUGAUUAGCUUUCAAUGACUAUUAGAAAACUACUAAAACACACACACACACACACACACACACACACAGAUGGAUCUUGGAAACCCUCAGCCUUGGGCUGAUGGUUGUGGUUGAAGAGACUCAAAGUCCAGUAUGAAGAUAAUCAUUCUAUUGCUUUCUCUCCGAGUCCUAGAUGAGAAGUACUGUGAACACAGGAUUAUUCACCAAGUGAGCCUCCAGCAAAAUGUCCUUUCUAGUCUACAGCCUCGGGUCUGCAUAUGUCCGCUAAUUCAGCCAGAGUGAGGUUGGAAAUAUUUUUUAAUUGCACUGAUUUAAUUAUGCAGAUUUUUGUCACUGUUCCCUCAAUAAUAUGGUUCAACAAUUGUUUACAAAGAUUCUGUGAUGGUUUGUAUGUGCACAGCCCAGGGAAUGGCACUAUUAGAAGGUAUAGCCCUGUUGGAGUAGGUAUGACCUUGUUGGAGUAGGUGUGACACUGUAGGUGUGGGCUUUAAGACCCUCCUCUUGGUUGCCUGGAAGCCAGUCUUCCACUAGCAGCCUUCAGAUGAAGAUGUAGCACUCUCAGCUCCUGCACCAUGCCUGCCUGGAUGCUGCCGUGCUCCCACCUUGAUGAUAAUGGACUGAACCUCUGAACCUGUAAGCCAGCCCUAAUGAAAUGUUGUCCUUUAUAAGAGUUGCCUUGGUCAUGGUGUCUGUUCACAGCAGUAAAACCCUAACAGUAUCCUCAUGACUUUGUCUGUUACUUGUCGUCUACAGACGAUCUAAAAUGCCACCAAGAGGUCUGCAGAGAUGGCUCAGUGGCUAAGAGGGCUUGCUGCUCUUUCAGACGACCCAAGUUUCAUUCCUGGAAGCCAUAUCAGGAAGUUCACAAGCACCUGUAACUCCAGGUCCAGGGAAUGAAUCCAUCACCCUCUUUUGGACUUUGCACAUACCUGCACAUAUGUGAUACCUAUGAACACACACACACACACACACACACACACACACACACACACACACUCACAUAUCCUUGCAGUAUAAAGAAGAAUGUGUACACAAACCCUACAGCACUGCCUAUACAGGACUACGACAUCCUCUGAUAUAGGUAUGCCUGUGCCCUGAAAUCAGUCUGCAUGGGCACCGCGGGAUGACUGUUAAGUACAUCCAAUUUGUACAGUUUCAGCCAUCUCUAUUCACACAAAUGCUUAAAAGCAGGAAAAGGGACCUGUAAAACUGCACCGCUGCGCCCCCUAGUGGUUGCAUUCAGUUAAUUACCUGUCUACUGUAGAUCUACAAAAAAAUACAUAUAUUCUUUUAAUCUAGGAGCGUCCUGAGUCCACUGUUCACCAACACAUCUGAGGCAAAGGGAAUCUGGUGGGCUUGACGAGCUGGCAGAUGUUUAGGCUUCUCCUGCCAGGCAUGAUAAGAAAGCACUCGACUUCCAUGCACUCUCUGACCCCACGCUCCACUCCGGUACUGCUUAGAGGCAGGGAUGAUGGAAGCGACAAACGCACGAGUUGAUAUGAUGCAUUGCAUUAAUAUGUGGAAGCAAAAACAUAGCAUUUUCUCUUCAUUUUUUCCCCUUGCAGGUUGCAUAUUGUUACCUGGAGUAAUUUGCAGCCCCUGAGAAAGGAUGAUUUUACUGGCCACUUCUGACAGACAAAUUGUCUUUAUUCCUUUGAUUUCUUUUAUUCUGCUAUUAAUAACACUGACAUUUGAAGCUGACUGUGCUCCAUAAUAAGUCAUCAGCACUGUUCGUUAUGAUGGUGUCCCUUACUGGCUUGGACCUCAUCAGACAGACUCAGCUCACUGACCAAUGAGACUCAGUAACCAUCUCUUCCUACUUCCACGGCUCUGCGACUACAGUGUAAGUCACCGUGGCCUGGAGAUUGAACCCUGGCCCUCACACUUGCAUGGCGAGCAUUUUCUGAUUGAGCCAUCUCCCCAGGCCUACACGGAUGGUGAUUGUAUGAAAACCUUGGGGCGCGGGGGUGGGGGUGCUGUUAAGACUCUUUGGUGCACUUGUUGGUUUUGUUGAAAACUGACACAUUCCAGCUGGUCAGUGGGACGUACAACUUUGGCUGCAGUGCAUUCCUGACGGAAUUCACGUGCCAGAAGUUUAGUCUCCAGUGCGUCAAUGUUGAGGUGCGGCUUUUUAAGGUCCUUUGGCCCUGGGGAGAUGGUGCAGGCCUUGAGAGGGUUUGGUGCUCUUGCAGGGGAGCCAGUUAAUUUCCUAACAACCACACAGGGCUACUCACAGCCACCUGUAACUCUAGUCCCAAGGGAUCUUACGAAGCGCUCUGGUCUCUGCAGAGACACUAAUAAUAGAUGCAUAAGUACAUAUGUACAGACAGACAGACAGACAGACAGACAAAACACUCAUACACAUAAAAUCAUAAAUGGAAAUAGAUACAUCAUUUUAAAGGUAGGGUUUAGUAAAAGUAAUUAACUCCCUGGGCCACUGGCUAUAAGGGUCUCUCGGGGAAUGUACUCUAAGUGUCUCUCAGGGAAUACACUGUCCCAAGAGUAGACUGUUGUCCUUAACAUAAGGCGUGUUCCCUACCUCUUGAAUACAGCUGGUGCUGUUUCCAUUGCUGGUGUG